rnacentral:rRNA from 1 species
UACGGAGGGUGCAAGCGUUAUCCGGAUUCACUGGGUUUAAAGGGUGCGUAGGAGGGCAGGUAAGUCAGUGGUGAAAUCUCCAAGCUUAACUUGGAAACUGCCGUUGAUACUAUCUGUCUUGAAUACCGUGGAGAUGAGCGGAAUAUGUCAUGUAGCGGUGAAAUGCUUAGAUAUGACAUAGAACACCAAUUGCGAAGGCAGCUCGUUACACGAAUAUUGACUCUGAGGCACGAAGGCGUGGGGAUCAAACAGG